UACGUAGGUGGCAAGCGUUAUCCGGAAUCAUUGGGCGUAAAGAGUGUGUAGGCGGUCUUUUAAGUCGGUUGUAAAAUCUGUGGGCUCAACCCAUAACAUGCAUCCGAAACUGGAAGACUUGAGUCUGGAAGAGGUAAGCGGAAUUUGUGGUGUAGCGGUGAAAUGCUUAGAUAUCACAAGGAACACCAAUGGCGAAGGCAGCUUACUGGGACAGUACUGACGCUGAGACACGAAAGCGUGGGGAGCGAAC
rnacentral:rRNA from 1 species